CCCAGACUCCUACGGGAGGCAGCAGUGGGGGAUAUUGCACAAUGGGGGGAACCCUGAUGCAGCGACGCCGCGUGGGUGAAGGAGCGUUUCGGCGCGUAAAGCCCUAUCGGCAGGGAAGAAGGAGGACGGUACCUGACUAAGAAGCCCCGGCUAACUACGUGCCAGCAGCCGCGGUAAUACGUAGGGGGCAAGCGUUAUCCGGGUUUACUGGGUGUAAAGGGGGCGCAGACGGCAGCGCAAGCCAGGAGUGAAAGCCCGGGGCCCAACCCCGGGACUGCUCUUGGAACUGCGCGGCUGGAGUGCAGGAGGGGCAGGCGGAAUUCCUGGUGUAGCGGUGAAAUGCGUAGAUAUCAGGAGGAACACCGGUGGCGAAGGCGGCCUGCUGGACUGCGACUGACGUUGAGGCCCGAAAGCGUGGGGAGCAAACAGGAUUAGAGACCCCCGUACAG
rnacentral:rRNA from 1 species